rnacentral:rRNA from 1 species
UACGUAGGUGGCAAGCGUUAUCCGGAUUUAUUGGGCGUAAAGGGAACGCAGGUGGUUUAUUAAGUCUGGUGUAAAAGGCAGUGGCUCAACCAUUGUAAGCAUUGGAAACUGGUAGACUUGAGUGCAGGAGAGGAGAGUGGAAUUCCAUGUGUAGCGGUGAAAUGCGUAGAUAUAUGGAGGAACACCGGUGGCGAAAGCGGCUCUCUGGCCUGUAACUGACACUGAGGCUCGAAAGCGUGGGGAGCAAACAGG